rnacentral:ribozyme from 12 species
AGCAAAUCAAAACUUAAAUAAGUAAUGUAGAGCGGUAACGUACAUAUUGGAAUGUUUCUUGUUCGUGCCCAUCAUCUUGUAUGAUAGUCAUUUAUUUCCUGUUCUAUUC